rnacentral:ncRNA from 1 species
CGGGAAUGAAGUUCUCCCAUGGGAAACCAAAACCGCUGACUAGGCUGAUGACUUCUGCGAUU